rnacentral:rRNA from 1 species
GACAGAGGGUGCAAACGUUGUCCGGAUUUAUUGGGCGUAAAGAGCGUGUAGGCGGUUCGGUAAGUCUGUCGUGAAAUCCUGAGGCUCAACCUCGGACGUGCGAUGGAUACUGCCGGGCUAGAGGAUGGUAGAGGCGAGUGGAAUUCCCGGUGUAGCGGUGAAAUGCGCAGAUAUCAGGAGGAACACCGGUGGCGAAGGCGGGUCUCUGGACAGUUCCUGACACUGAGACACGAAGGCCAGGGGAGCAAACGGG